rnacentral:rRNA from 1 species
UGGGGAAUAUUGCACAAUGGGGGAAACCCUGAUGCAGCGACGCCGCGUGAGCGAAGAAGGCUUUCGAGUCGUAAAGCUCUGUCCUAGGAGAAGAUAAUGACGGUAUCAUAGGAGGAAGCCCUGGCUAAAUACGUGCCAGCAGCCGCGGUAAUACGUAUGGGGCGAGCGUUGUCCGGAAUUAUUGGGCGUAAAGGGUACGUAGGCGGUUUUUUAAGUCAGGUGUCAAAGCGUGGAGCUUAACUCCAUUAAGCACUUGAAACUGAAAGACUUGAGUGAAGGAGAGGAAAGUGGAAUUCCUAGUGUAGCGGUGAAAUGCGUAGAUAUUAGGAGGAAUACCGGUGGCGAAGGCGACUUUCUGGACUUUUACUGACGCUCAGGUACGAAAGCGUGGGGAGCAAACAGG